CCUACGGGUGGCAGCAGUGGGGAAUAUUGGACAAUGGUGGCAACCCUGAUCCAGCCAUGCCGCGUGUGUGAAGAAGGCCCUCGGGUUGUAAAGCACUUUCAGUGAGGAAGAACGCCUGGUGGUUAAUACCCAUCAGGAAAGACAUCACUCACAGAAGAAGCACCGGCUAACUCCGUGCCAGCAGCCGCGGUAAUACGGAGGGUGCGAGCGUUAAUCGGAAUUACUGGGCGUAAAGCGCGCGUAGGUGGCUUGAUAAGCCGGUUGUGAAAGCCCCGGGCUCAACCUGGGAACGGCAUCCGGAACUGUCAAGCUAGAGUGCAGGAGAGGAAGGUAGAAUUCCCGGUGUAGCGGUGAAAUGCGUAGAGAUCGGGAGGAAUACCAGUGGCGAAGGCGGCCUUCUGGACUGACACUGACACUGAGGUGCGAAAGCGUGGGUAGCAAACAGGAUUAGAUACCCGAGUAGUC
rnacentral:rRNA from 1 species